rnacentral:rRNA from 1 species
UACGAAGGGGGCUAGCGUUGUUCGGAUUCAUUGGGCGUAAAGGGUGCGUAGGUGGCGCCGUAAGUCGGGUGUGAAAUUUCGGAGCUUAACUCCGAAACUGCAUUCGAUACUGGAAGGCUUGAAUCCGGGAGAGGGAUGCGGAAUUCCAGGUGUAGCGGUGAAAUGCGUAGAUAUCUGGAGGAACACCGGUGGCGAAGGCGGCAUCCUGGACCGGCAUUGACGCUGAGGCGCGAAAGCCAGGGGAGCAAACGGG